ACGCUAAGCAAUUCGGUUCGAAUGGACC
rnacentral:sRNA from 1 species